UGUAUUAUAUAAAUAACGCGCCAAUUACUUAAAUAUUUUUAUAAUAGUACAUUGGCUCUGGAACUUUCAGCGACGUAUUUAAAGCAAUUUAAGGAACUGAAGGCGAGGAGAAGAUACUCGCAGUUAAAACAUAUAGAAACAGUGAUUCGGACAGCCUUUUAACAGAAUCAUCAUUUGUGUCACGACCUUGCCAUGAAAAUAUAUUGACAUAUUAUGGCAUAACAACAAAUACUGAUCGCAGAACAUGUCUACUCUCAGAAUAUGCUGAUUGCGGAACUCUCUAUAAUGCUCUACAUCUAGGUGACUCUUCACAUCAAAAUGCAUUAGCAUGGAUGCUUCAGUUAGCCAAGGGUGUCGAAUUUAUGCAUCAACAAUUCAUUAUUCAUGGCGAUCUUAAACCAAGGAAACUGCUACUUUUUAAUAAUUAUCAGACUCUAAAGAUUUCCAUAUCGGAUUUGAUAUGUAUUAAGCCUACAUCGUAAAUGGUUGGAGCAUCGUAUUACAUGGCACCAGAAAUUGUAGAACGACCGGAGUACACAGUGAAGUGCGAUAAGUGAAGUUUUGGGAUAAUACUGUGGGAGGUUAUGUCACGAAAGAAACCUUUCAACAAUCUGGAGAAUGAAACCAGUUACUUUAUUUUAAAUAAAGUAAUGAAAGGUUUGCGGCCUGAUGUGAAUGAUGUGAACGUCAUUCAAAAUGCGGAACGGAUAAAAUUGUUGAUUACCAAUUGCUGGGAUCCGAAUCCAAAGAAGCGGCCGGAUAUGCAUGAGUUAAUAACGAGUUUUACAUCUUUUGUAAAUUAGUUUUCAAUAAUUUUUCUAUAUAUAAAAAAAAAGUUA